rnacentral:rRNA from 1 species
UACAGAGGGGGCUAGCGUUAUUCGGAAUUAUUGGGCGUAAAGGGCGCGUAGGCGGCCAUGCGUGCCUUCCGUGAAAUCCCUCGGCUUAACUGAGGACGUGCGGAAGAAACUGCAAGGCUCGAGUCCGGGAGAGGGGGGUGGAAUUCCCAGUGUAGCGGUGAAAUGCGUAGAUAUUGGGAGGAACACCGGUGGCGAAGGCGGCCCCCUGGACCGGAACUGACGCUGAGGCGCGAAAGCGUGGGUAGCAAACGGG